GAGUUUGAUCCUGGCUCAGAUUGAACGCUGGCGGCACGCUUUACACAUGCAAGUCGAACGGCAGCGCAGGAGUGCUUGCACUCCUGGCGGCGAGUGGCGGACGGGUGAGUAACGCAUGGGAAUAUGCCCGACAGAGGGGGAUAACCUUGGGAAACCAAGGCUAAUACCGCAUAACCUCUACGGAGAAAAGCGGGGGAUCUUCGGACCUCGCACUGACGGAGUAGCCCACGUCCGAUUAGCUUGUUGGCGGGGUAACAGCCCACCAAGGCGAUGAUCGGUAGCUGGUCUGAGAGGAUGAUCAGCCACACCGGGACUGAGACACGGCCCGGACUCCUACGGGAGGCAGCAGUGGGGAAUAUUGGACAAUGGGGGAAACCCUGAUCCAGCGAUGCCGCGUGAGUGAAGAAGGCCUUCGGGUUGUAAAGCUCUUUCGCAGGGGAAGAAAAGGUAUUGAUGAAUAAUCAAUGCUGCUGACGGUACCCUGAUAAGAAGCACCGGCUAACUACGUGCCAGCAGCCGCGGUAAUACGUAGGGUGCGAGCGUUAAUCGGAAUUACUGGGCGUAAAGCGUGCGUAGGCGGCUAUGCAAGUCAGAUGUGAAAGCCCCAGGCUCAACCUGGGAAUUGCGUUUGAAACUGUGUGGCUAGAGUUCGACAGAGGAAGAU
rnacentral:rRNA from 1 species